rnacentral:lncRNA from 1 species
AUUCUAAACAAGUGAAACUGCGAGCUACUGCUCACUGAUGAUACCCCCGCCGCAAGUGGAUAAUAUUAAUAGUGUAAAAAUAUGCAAGUGUUCGGUAAACAGGAAGUUGUCGAGUGAUGAAUCUGAAAACGCAUCACACGGUAUAGCUGACUUAUAUAAAUCCUGAAACCAAAUUUCAGAAUCCUUGUAUUGUAGUUCUGAGAAAAAUGUGACGAAAAUUUUCAACUUGGCUAUCAUGUGUAAAAUCAGACAAGUGUUCGGUAAACAGGAAGUUGUCAAGUGAUGAAUCUGAAAACGCAUCACACGGUAUGGCUGACAUAUAUAAAUGUUGAUACCAAAUUACAGAAAGGGUGGAUGUGUAGUUCCUGAGAAAAAUGUGACGAAAGUUUCAUGGGACGGACUGACUGACGGACGGACUGAUGGACGGACUGACGGACGGACUGACAGACAGAGGUAAAACAGUAUACCCCCCUUUUUUAAAGCGGGGGUAUAAUAAUUAAU